UUUUUGUUUUUUUGUUUUUUUUUUUUUUUGAGACAGGGUUUCUCUGUGUAUUCCUGGCUGUCUUGGAACUCUCUCUGUAGACCAGGCUGGCCUUGAACUCAGAAAUCCGACUGCCUCUGCCUCCCAAGUGCUGGGAUUAAAGGCGUGCGCCACCACCGGCCCGGCUCGGUUUUAUUUUAUAAGAGUCCAAGUGUAUCUUGAAAAAUUACAUUAUACCCCUGGGAUUUAGCUGCUUUUACUUUCCCGCUGAACUCUGUACUCUAGUUUUACUCCUUGCUCCUCUCUCUGGUCCUUGAGUGAGACUGAAUAUUUACUAGCACCGGGAGAUAGAAAACAUGAGAGAGAUUGAGUAGCUCAAGUGCUUCAGGUCUUGGACUUCACUUAAACCUAUCCAUCCAUCUAUCGAUCCAUCCUUCCUUCUGGCCCGAAACAAAGACCACUGAGCAUUGCUUUCAUAGCAGUAUGAUCACUAAAGGUCUGAAAGGGUUAACUGACAUUACUAGGACUGUUUUGCCCACACCUCUGUGUUCCACUCUCCAAGUAAUUAACCUAUCAACUCAACCUAGCCUGAAAAGAACAAGGGAGAAACAGGAAAGGCUAGGGGCAGCCCUCUGGAACCUUAUCAGUAAUGCUACUUUUAGUUUACAGGAACCUGUGGACAACAAGGAAGCCCCUUUGUGAGACUUCUGCGAGAAUUAAUGACCUCUCAGGAAUGCCAUAUAUAAGCUCUUGCCCUUGCUUUGCCAAGAUGUAAUUGGGAGGAAAAAGUCUUCCAUGUUUUCAUCUGCCUUGCUUGUUGCCAGUGGGGCUCUUUUCCUGUCAGUGUCUCUAAGUGAAAGGCGGCAGCGGAACGAGAAUUGGCGUGGACUCAAAACUACAUCAAGACCCUCACCACCUCCUCCUGCCAUCUUCCGGAGAUGCAGAUGAGCGCCGAGCUCCGGAUCCUCGCCACCUUUCCCCGCCACGCGGUCGUCAGCCUCGAGACCGGCGGAAACUACGACUCCCAGAAUCCCUCGCGGGGCGGGAGGAAGGCGGGGAGCGUACAAAGCGGCGCUGGAAGCUAGCGGCAGUGAGGCCGCGCUUGGGGUCCGGCAGCUUGGCGUCCCCGCGGCCUGAGGCGUCAGCUGCGUGGGCGCUCACGCAGGGCGGGUCGCGCGGCGCCGGGCGAGAGGGAAGUCGUGGCGGCGGCGUCGGGAACAGCAGCGGCGGCGGCGGGAGCGUGGUGCUGACAGGCCGUGGGAGAAAUGGGAGACCCAGGGCCGGAGAUAAUAGAAUCUGUCCCACCAGCUGGGCCCGAGGCAUCAGAGUCUACCACGGAUGAAAACGAAGAUGACAUUCAGUUUGUUAGUGAAGGACCGUUAAGACCCGUUUUGGAAUACAUUGAUCUAGUCAGCAGUGAUGAUGAAGAGCCUAGUACCUCUCACAGUGAUGAGAAUUUUAAAUGCAAAGACUAUAUAGAUCACCAGAAGGAUAAAGUUGCUUUAACUUUGGCUCGCCUGGCCCGCCAUGUUGAAGUAGAAAAACAACAGAAAGAAGAGAAGAACAGGGCAUUUAGGGAAAAAAUUGAUUUUCAGCACGCUCAUGGUUUACAAGAGUUGGAGUUUAUUCAAGGACAUUCAGAAACAGAAGCAGCAAGACAGUGUGUGGACCAGUGGCUAAAAAUGCCAGGACUCAGAACAAAUGCAGCUAAUUCUGGAACAAAAAGAUCAUUCCAACGUGGAGGCAGGAUGUGGAGGUCUGAGAAGCCAAUUUUGUGUCCUAUAAUGCACUGUAACAAGGAAUUUGACAAUGGGCACCUUCUGUUGGGACAUUUGAAAAGGUUUGAUCACUCCCCAUGUGAUCCCACAAUUACGUUACAUGGACCUCUGGCUAAUUCGUUUGCAUGUGCAGUGUGCUAUGAACAUUUCGUUACUCAACAGCAGUACAAGGACCAUCUUCUCUCCAGGACAGCUGCAGCCGAUGGACAUAGCAAUAGCCUUCUUCCUCAGAUUAUUCAAUGUUAUGCUUGUCCACAGUGCUUCCUUUUGUUUAGCACCAAGGAUGAGUGUUUGAAGCAUAUGUCUACAAAGAAUCAUUUCCAUCAGAGCUUUAAACUGAGUGAUAAUAAAGGAACGGCCCGCCCAAUAUCAUUUCCAUCUUUUGCAAAGAAGCGUUUGGUCUCUCUGUGCAAAGAUGUUCCAUUUCAGGUUAAGUGUGUGGCCUGCCACCAGACUCUGCGUUCUCACAUGGAGCUCACUGCCCAUUUCAGGGUUCGUUGUCAAAAUGCUGGACCUGUUGCUAUAGCUGAAAAAAGCAUUACUCAGGUUGCAAAAGAAUUCAUAGUAAGAGGUUAUUGUUCAGAUUGCAACCAGGUCUUUAUGGAUGUAGCCAGCACCCAAAGUCACAAGAAUUCAGGACACAAAAUUACACUUGCGAACUCGGUGGAAGAAUCUGUCUUGCUUUAUUGCCACAUCAGUGAAGGGAGUCGGCCUCCUUGUGAUUUACAUUUAUUUAGUCAACCAAAAAUUUCAUCACUUAAACGGAUUCUGUCCGUUAAAGAGUCCAGUGCAGAGGAUUGUAUCGUUCCGACAAAGAAGGUGAACUUAGGUGUUGAAAGCCUUGGAGGUGCAACUCGUGUGCAGAGGCAGAGUCCAGCAGUCACAGCCUGGUUUUGUGAAUGCAGACGGCAGUUUCCCAGUGAAGAGGCGGUAGAAAAGCAUGUUUUCUCGGCAAACACAAUGUGUUAUAAGUGUGUGGUCUGUGGAAAGGUUUGUGAAGAUUCGGGGGUCAUGCGUUUACACAUGAGCCGGUUUCAUGGAGGGGCGCAUUUAAAUAACUUUCUAUUUUGGUGUCGGACGUGCAAAAAGGAGUUAGUAAAGAAAGAUGCCAUCAUGGCACACAUUACUGAGUUUCAUAGUGGGCAUAGAUAUUUUUAUGAGAUGGAUGAGGUAGAGGAGGAAGAGGAGGAGGCCAUGCCGUCAUCCUCUGUGGAGAGCCAUUUGAAUACUGACAAACCUCCUUCACCCAUUGCUGUUGUUGAUCACUGCCCGGCCAACAGUCCUCCCAGGGGCAGGUGGCAGUGCCGCAUCUGUGAGGACAUGUUUGAAUCCCAGGAGUGUGUGAAGCAGCACUGCAUGUCCUUGACAAGCCACCGGUUUCACAGAUACAGCUGUGCCCACUGCAGAAAGACUUUCCAUAAAGUGGAAACUCUGUACCGACAUUGCCAGGACGAGCAUGACAGUGAGAUCAUGAUGAAGUACUUCUGUGGGCUUUGUGAUCUCAUUUUUAACAAGGAAGAAGAAUUUCUGAGUCACUAUAAGGAACACCACAGCAUAGAUUAUGUGUUUGUGUCAGAAAAAACUAAAACCUCAAUUAAAACUGAAGGCGAUUUUAAAAUAGUAGAGACCAGUAGUUUACUAAGCUGUGGCUGUCAUGAGAGUUACAUGUGUAAAAUCAACAGAAAGGAAGACUAUGACCGAUGCCUUCCAGUCCUGCUGGAGAAAGGUAGGCUGUGGUUUCGCUGCAGCUCGUGCUCAGCCACAGCACAGAAUGUGACCGACAUUAACACUCACGUCUGCCAAGUGCACAGAAAAGAGAAAAGUGAGGAGGAGCAGCAGUAUGUGAUCAAGUGUGGCAUCUGCACCAAGGCAUUCCAGAACACGGAGAGCGCUCAGCAGCACUUCCACAGGAAGCACGCGGCCCUCCAGAAACCCACCGCGACCCCAGGGGGAGCCAACAGAAGCAGCACAUGCCAGCUGGCUGCUAGUGCCUCACAUGCUGAGAAAAACCUGAAACAGCCUAGCUCUCAGAAACAUUCAGACGUGGAAAAAGGAGCUGAGCAUGAUGUACGCUGCCAGAACAUAGAGGAGGAAGUUGAGCUUCCGGAUGUGGACUACCUGCGGACCAUGACUCACAUAGUCUUUGUAGAUUUUGAUAACUGGUCCAACUUUUUUGGUCAUCUACCUGGGCAUCUUAAUCAAGGAACGUUUAUUUGGGGCUUUCAAGGGGGAAACACCAACUGGAAGCCCCCGCUCAGCUGUAAGGUCUAUAAUUACUUGAGCAGGAUUGGCUGCUUCUUCCUUCAUCCUCGCUGCAGUAAAAGAAAAGAUGCCGCGGAUUUUGCCAUAUGUAUGCAUGCUGGCCGUCUAGAUGAGCAACUUCCCAAACAAAUUCCUUUCACCAUCCUCUCGGGAGACCAAGGCUUUCUGGAGCUAGAGAAUCAAUUUAAGAAGACCCAGAGGCCAGCUCAUAUACUAAACCCUCACCACUUAGAGGGAGACAUGAUGUGUGCCUUGUUAAAUAGCAUAUCUGAUACUACCAAAGAGUGUGACAGUGACGAUAGCUCGGGGAUGAAAGGAUCUCCAGCAGAGGAGCUCAGGGCCACGGAGGGCAACCUUGAACUUGCAGUCUUACUGCUUCAGCCUCCCUAGUAGCAGAGAUUACAGGUAAACACCACAUACAUAGAUGCAUUUCUCUGGUUUGGGGCAGAGCUAUAGCUGCUAUCUGUAGAAAGCUGCGACUGUGCCAUACCAGGUUCACUUGAAUUGUCAUCUUCUCAUCCCUGCUGAGCUCCCUGGUGAAGAUGUUAAGGCCGUGCUUAUCACUGCUUCACCAGAACCUAGCACAGCAUGAGCGGAAAUGAUUGUUUGUCGGAUAGAUGAAGUUACAGUAAGAACUUAAAAGUGUGUUAGAUCUACCAGAGCCUGUCUUCCUGCUACUGGAUAAUUACUACAACCUGUUUGAGACAAACUUCAAAAGUUUAGGACUCCUUAAAUUAAUGUCUUCAUCUUUCUCAAUAAUGUUUUGACAGAUGGUGUCAAAGGCAGGUAAAUUUGCUUGUGGUUUUUGCUUUGUUGGGGCAAGCUAAGCUGUUCCCUCCUGUGAUGGUUGCUGUCUGUGAACCAGUAUCAAAUUCUGACCACCCAGGCAGCUACAUGACGUGCAGUGGCUGUGCAAACACUGGAUCCAGUUGCCUGCCUUAGAGGCUGUAUUAUAGUCGCUGGCCAGUCCUGCAAACUUGGGUGUUUAUAUUCUUUUGCUGUGGAUGGUGCUGGAUUGAUAGAAUGACCUCUGGAAAUCAAGUGUUACCCCUUCCAUUCUUGAUACAGAUACAAUAGACAGUCACUUGAUUUUUACAAACUAGUUUUGGAAAAACUAUAUUCCUAAUGUGAUCAUUGGGCUUUUUAACUAGUUUUUGACAGAAUUUUCCCUGAAUUCCAGAAACCUAAAGCCCGCCUCUCCCUGUCUCUGCAGCAACCUAGAGCCCACCUCUCCCUGUCUCUGCAGGCUACUCUGUGCUGGACCCCCCCCCCCCCCCCCCCGGCCAGCCGCGUGUGUGUCAAGCCUGUAGACGAGUUAGUGAUGCAAGGCUCUUCAUAUGGCUUCUGAGCUGACAUCCUGUCCAGGCACACGCAUGGCUUUAUAAAUCCUUCUUGGGUGCCCUAACUUCCCAGAGAGACCCUGUUACUAAGUUUUCUAACCAGGGUUUAAUGGUUGAUUGUAUGAGCAAAAACCAUAUUUUGUUGCAGUCUUAGUUGGGUUAUUAUUUCUGGCUUACAGCACAUCCCCCCUACCGCACAGAGCAUGCUACAUGUUUUGUCCUGAGAGGGUUCUAAGUUAGGGGAAGUAGAUGGCUGGCUGCUUUUCAUUAAUGUUUCAGGUAGCCUUGGAUUUAAGUAUGGGUCUGCUGUGCUCUUUCUGAAUCUGGGUCCAGGAUCCCACAUUGCGAGCAGACUGCUGACUACCUAACAAUGUGGAAUUAGAAGAAGCUAUUAGAAGAAGUCUUGAGGAGAUGUAAUUAAAGAUAUUACCACACAGCAUCAAGUGGCCUUGAAGAGACUCAGGAAAAUGAAACCUUGACCCUGUUUUCUAAAAGAGACCAGGAAGCUACUAGGAUAAAUGUAUCCCAAACGUGUUCUUUUCUAUGUUCAGAAUCUCGUAUUUGCUUUGUAUUUUGUGCUAUUAUGUAAAUAAUGAAUGGAAGGAAGAGAAUGCAUACCAAUGGAAACAUAAACUCAUAUUCUAAUAUGAUGGGUGACACGUUUCUCCAACUAACGCAGAAUUCAUGCAUUUGGGUUACAGCCGUUUUCUAGGAGGAAAGGUGUGUAAAGUUCUCUUUCCUUAGCAGUGCGUCUUUUUUUGUACUUUACAAAUGACUCUUUUAUUUUUUUAGGAAUGAAAAUGAAUAUAAAUAAAAGGUGCCAUAACUCAGUUUUUUUCCAGAAAUUCUCUGUGUUAUGUGACCCUAAUGUAUAAUAUACCUUGGAGAUGACUGUUUAUGAUUAUUAGAAGAGAGCGAUACACAUUGAUCACAGAAACAGAUUCAAGUCAGUGCGGUUCCAUGUGCUAUUAUGCAGCUGUAUGCUUGCUCUGAUUACAGUUGCACCUUACCACAAUAAAAACAUCUUUAAAGCAA